rnacentral:lncRNA from 1 species
CUGACCAGGUGAUGCUCGAGGGUGUGAACUCAGAAGAUAAGGAGAUGGUGACGACUGUGAAGGGUGUCAUCAAAGCUGUGCUGGAUGGAGUGAAGGAACUGGUGAGGCUAACCAUUGAGAAGCAAGGCCGGCCAUCACCAACAAGCCCAGUGAAGCCCAGUUCCCCAGCCAGCAAGCCUGAUGGCCAGCCUGAGCUCCCUCUGACAGAACGAGAAAUGGAGAUUCUGAACAAGACAAGUGUGUCACCAUCCACUGAACUGCUCCCAGACUCCACCAGUGAAGAGGUUGCGCCCCCCAAGCCCCCUUUACCUGGCAUCCGGGUGGUUGAUAACAGUCCACCAGCAUUACCACCCAAGAAAAGGCAAUCUGCUCCAUCCCCUACCCGGGUGGCUGUGG